CCACAAGAUGGGCGAAGGAGGCCUGUUGCCAGGAGUGGUCCCUGCUUUUCCGGGAUUCCUAAGACUUUGAGGGUCUCAAGGAUACAGGUACUUGGUGACCUAUCUUUGCUUCUCGUUACCUUACCCUUGAAAGUGCCACGGAGAUAGCACUGAGAAUUCGAG
rnacentral:lncRNA from 14 species